CGGUCUACUAACCCAAAGAGAACACUCUACACCCAGAAGCUAUCAACUCAACCUCUCAAAGGCUCCUAGAGCAACAACAGAAAAGGGAAACACACUAGAGCACAAACACACACAUCAGAACAUGAACAAGUGAGCGUACCUGGCAUCACUGCGUUCGAUGUGUCUGCUCCCCUUCCUGGAACACUGGCUUGAGCCACAACACCUGCA
rnacentral:lncRNA from 1 species